AGUGAACGCUGGCGGUAGGCCUAACACAUGCAAGUCGAACGGCAGCACAGUAAGAGCUUGCUCUUACGGGUGGCGAGUGGCGGACGGGUGAGGAAUACAUCGGAAUCUACUUUUUCGUGGGGGAUAACGUAGGGAAACUUACGCUAAUACCGCAUACGACCUACGGGUGAAAGCAGGGGAUCUUCGGACCUUGCGCGAAUGAAUGAGCCGAUGUCGGAUUAGCUAGUUGGCGGGGUAAAGGCACACCAAGGCGACGAUCCGUAGCUGGUCUGAGUGGAUGAUCGGCCACACUGGAACUGAGACACGGUCCAGACUCCUACGGGAGGCAGCAGUGGGGAAUAUUGGACAAUGGGCGCAAGCCUGAUCCAGUCAUCCCGCGUGGGUGAAGACGGCCUUCGGGUUGUAAAGCCCUUUUGUUGGGAAAGAAAAGCAGCAGGUUAAUACCCCGCUGUUCUGACGGUACCCAAAGAAUAAGCACCGGCUAACUUCGUG
rnacentral:rRNA from 1 species